UUGGAUGUCGUGACAGGGAGGAGUACAGUAUACUUCCCCUCACGAAAGUAGCAGUCAUUAUGGACUACAUUGCAUAAAAUAACAAAAGAUCGCAUAAAUGUUAAUUGAUAAUAACUGAAAUGGGCCAGCCUUUUAAACUUUGAGCGCAAUAAAAAGUUGGUGGUAGCAAAAAUGAGUUUAUUAAUCCUCAACUAUCAUGUGAAACAUGGAUAGGUUAUUACUAAGG
rnacentral:lncRNA from 1 species